CCGUUAUCAGACAUAAAAACGAUAAUCGAGUUUUCCAGCAUGUUAGCGUGCCUCAACGCCUGGACAACUCUACCGACAGAUUCAUCCAUGGCGGUAACCACGCCUGAAAACAAGGAAACAUACAUUGCAAUAAGACGCUGCGAGUAUAUAACAAGUAGUAGUCGAUGCACCGAGAAUAAGGCGACAAAUAUAAGAGUCACGGUCCAAGCUCGAGUUCAAGCUGGAGGUGUCAGGUAUAAAUGCAAAAGUACGAGGAAUGUCGAGCUUGUCGAUUGGAAAAGUAACCCAAGGCUGUAACCCGAAAACAACAUUGGGCUCAAAUUUUACCAGUACAGGGUGCACCGUAACACCCCACGUUGGAUCCACUUCAGCAGAAGACAGGGGGAACAAAAACAACGAGAAAGGU